UACGUAGGUGGCAAGCGUUGUCCGGAUUUACUGGGCGUAAAGAGCGCGCAGGCGGUCGUUCAAGUCGCGUGUGAAAGCCCCCGGCUCAACUGGGGAGGGUCACGCGAUACUGAUCGACUCGAAGGCAGGAGAGGGAAGUGGAAUUCCCGGUGUAGUGGUGAAAUGCGUAGAUAUCGGGAGGAACACCAGUGGCGAAGGCGGGUCUCUGGACAGUUCCUGACGCUGAGGCACGAAGGCCAGGGGAGCAAACGGG
rnacentral:rRNA from 1 species